rnacentral:rRNA from 1 species
GCCCCAGUAACGGCGAGUGAAGCGGCAAUAGCUCAAAUUUGAAAUCUGGCUCUUUUAGGGUCCGAGUUGUAAUUUGCAGAGGGCGCUUUGGCGUUGGCAGCGGUCCAAGUUCUUUGGAACAGGACGUCACAGAGGGUGAGAAUCCCGUACGUGGUCGCUAUCCUUCGCCGUGUAAAGCCCCUUCGACGAGUCGAGUUGUUUGGGAAUGCAGCUCUAAAUGGGAGGUAAAUUUCUUCUAAAGCUAAAUACUGGCCAGAGACCGAUAGCGCACAAGUAGAGUGAUCGAAAGAUGAAAAGCACUUUGGAAAGAGAGUCAAAUAGCACGUGAAAUUGUUGAAAGGGAAGCGCUUGCAGCCAGACUUGCCUGUAGUUGCUUAUCCAGACUUUUGUCUGGUGCACUCUUCUGCGGGCAGGCCAGCAUCAGUUUGGGCGGUUAGAUAAAGGUCUCUGUCAUGUACCUCUCUUCGGGGAGGCCUUAUAGGGGAGACGACAUGUAACCAGCCUGGACUGAGGUCCGCGCAUCUGCUAGGAUGCUGGCGUAAUGGCUGUAAGCGGCCCGUCUUGAAACACGGACCAAGGAGUCUAACAUCUAUGCGAGUGUUUGGGUGUCAAGCCCAGACGCGUAAUGAAAGUGAACGGAGGUAAGAACCCUUUGGGUGCAUUAUCGACCGAUCCUGAUGUCUUCGGAAGGAUUUGAGUAAGAGCAUGGCUGUUGGGACCCGAAAGAUGGUGAACUAUGCUUGAAUAGGGUGAAGCCAGAGGAAACUCUGGUGGAGGCUCGCAGCGGUUCUGACGU